rnacentral:rRNA from 2 species
UAGGGAAUCUUCCGCAAUGGGCGAAAGCCUGACGGAGCAACGCCGCGUGAGUGAUGAAGGUCUUCGGAUCGUAAAACUCUGUUAUUAGGGAAGAACAAAUGUGUAAGUAACUAUGCACGUCUUGACGGUACCUAAUCAGAAAGCCACGGCUAACUACGUG